rnacentral:rRNA from 1 species
AGGACGAACGCUGGCGGCGUGCUUAACACAUGCAAGUCGAGCGGAAAGGCCCUUCGGGGUACUCGAGCGGCGAACGGGUGAGUAACACGUGAGCAACCUGCCCUUAGCUUCGGGAUAGCUCCGGGAAACCGGAAUUAAUACCGAAUAUGAAUGCGGCUGACAUCAGCCACAUUGGAAAGUUUUUCGGCUAGGGAUGGACUCGCGGCCUAUCAGCUAGUUGGUGAGGUAACGGCCCACCAAGACGAUGAUCGGUA